GUCCUAGGAAGAUAGCUUUUAUCCUAGACAUCCGUUUUUAGAAUUUUUAGCAUCUAAUUCACUAUACGUAGACUUGCUAAUUUUCCUUGUACCAGUACAGUGCCAACUCCCUACCCAGCCGCUGCUGUCGCCACCUCUCGUUGGGCCGGCGGCGAGCCUUCACAAGACGCCCUCUGCCUCCCAAGUCUUCUACUGCGUCGCCGAUUUCCGAAAGGUGGCGCCUUUGGACCUCUCCGAUCCCAUUCCGUAUUUGAUGUAAAUCAUCUCUUGCUGCUGCCGUGAUAGAUUGGUUGUGGAGGAUUCUAACGCAGUGCAUCCUUUUUUGUCACGAUGGCGCUCGGUGGAAUCGAUUUUGACCUAAUUUGAUUAGAAGAAAUUUCUGAGGGAGUGUACAGAGCCGGCUACUUGUUUGUGCUUCAUUCAGGAAGAAGGCGUACAUGAUGGUUGAAACAACUGAUCCUACAUCUGCAAAAUCCCAUUGUCAAACACUGGAGAACUAGGGGAAACAGAAUGUCAGAUUUUCUAAUGUUUCAUUUGUUAUACUACCAUAUGAACAUUACCAGCAACUUCCUGUCCCAUCACUGCAUGCAAGAACUUCCCUGGAAUACCAGCUUUGAGAUAAGCCUUCUUAGUUUUCAGAUAUUGAUUCAACUUAUAAAUACUUUCACACAUUUCCAAAACAGAUACGUCAGUUUGUAGCAAAUUCUUGUCAUAGAAUGAUGCAGCAGACUGAGGUAAAGAAAUUCUAGAAUGGCCUAUAUUUUGUUUGCUCCCACUGUUCAUUCUUUCGAGUUUUCUUUCAGGAUUCUUGUCAUCAACUGACUGAUAUUUGUUGAAGCUAUAUUGACCAAUCCCUGGUAAUGGCAGAGGGGGAUUUUCAAGCUCAACUUUUUGGCCUGGGUUUUCUGACCUCAUAUCAUGGUUAGUGAUAUCUGGAGCACUCUGCUUGGACUCUAACUCCCAUAUAUCAUUCAGGGAAUACGAUGCACUUGAGUUGGUGAUGUCUCGUUCUGAGUCAAGUGUCUUUUCUUCAGCUGACAAGGUGAAACCAUGUCUUCUAAUUCCAUGAAAUUGAGGAUGAUCUCUUUUUUGGGGAUACAGUACCUGGGGAAGCCAACAUGGCUGGUUAGGUACCACCAAGAAAAUAGAACUUAAUUCCUUUGCUUCUAUAGUAUUUUCCAAUUUGUCAAGAUUUAUUAGACUUUAUGUCUACCAAAGCUUGGAGCCACCGGAUUGGAGCUCCGCAUACUCUUUCGAAUUAAGUGUGAGUCGAACAGCUCUCUUUUGCUCCUUGUACUUGGAUAGAGAGAUGGAGGGAGUGCUUAAUAGAGGAUGGAGCAAUUCAGUAAUUUAUUCAUCGUGAUGUCCGCCAAUGAGCUUUGGAUUAAUCUCCCUUCCUUGCUGUUAGUCAUUGUUUUUAUUGUUACUAGCCGUUGCUUGGACAAGGCUUUUGUCUUUGAUUGCGGCCUGAAACACCUGUUGGAAGGCAUCAUCUGGCACUUAACAGCCUUAUCAGGUUCUGUAGUAUAAUGAAUUGAACUGCAAAUUAAAUUGCAGGCCUGGACUCCUGUCCGGGUACAUGUUGUUCCACUGAUAAAAAUUGUAAGAUGAUCACUUCCAACAGGAAACAUAGGUCAUCCUUCCACAGAUAAAUUUAAGUUUUGAAGAAGCCAUUGAUAAAAGUUGUGAUAGGUUACUAGGCUUUGAGAUGUCAUUGAUGCCACCAAGAUGAUCUUUUCUUUCUUCUUCUUCUUUUUUUUUCUUUUUUUUAUAGUGAAAAGGAUGCUACCAAGGUGUUCAUAGCCAUAGUUUGUAACAAGCUUUCAUCGAUCCUGUCGCUUUAAUCCCAGGCACAUUGCCUAUGUAUUCAGAUCUUCCAAAUUUUAAACAUAUUCUUUUUUAUGCA